rnacentral:rRNA from 1 species
UAGGGAAUCUUCGGCAAUGGACGAAAGUCUGACCGAGCAACGCCGCGUGAGUGAAGAAGGUUUUCGGAUCGUAAAACUCUGUUGUUAGAGAAGAACAAGGACGUUAGUAACUGAACGUCCCCUGACGGUAUCUAACCAGAAAGCCACGGCUAACUACGUGCCAGCAGCCGCGGUAAUACGUAGGUGGCAAGCGUUGUCCGGAUUUAUUGGGCGUAAAGCGAGCGCAGGCGGUUUCUUAAGUCUGAUGUGAAAGCCCCCGGCUCAACCGGGGAGGGUGAUUGGAAACUGGGAGACUUGAGUGCAGAAGAGGAGAGUGGAAUUCCAUGUGUAGAGGUGAAAUGCGUAGAUAUAUGGAGGAACACCAGUGGCGAAGGAGGCUGUCUGGUCUGUAACUGACGCUGAGGAUCGAAAGCGUGGGGAGCAAACAGG